rnacentral:rRNA from 1 species
AGAGUUUGAUCCUGGCUCAGAUUGAACGCUGGCGGCAUGCCUUACACAUGCAAGUCGAACGUGAAAGGGGGGCAACCCCCGAGUAGAGUGGCGGACGGGUGAGUAAUACAUCGGAACGUGCCCAGUAGUGGGGGACAACCUUGAGAAAUCGAGGCUAAUACCGCAUACGACCCACGGGUGAAAGCGGGGGACCGCAAGGCCUCGCGCUAUUGGAGCGGCCGAUGUCCGAUUAGCUAGUUGGUAGGGUAAAAGCCUACCAAGGCAACGAUCGGUAGCUGGUCUGAGAGGACGACCAGCCACACUGGGACUGAGACACGGCCCAGACUCCUACGGGAGGCAGCAGUGGGGAAUUUUGGACAAUGGGGGCAACCCUGAUCCAGCCAUGCCGCGUGCGGGAAGAAGGCCUUCGGGUUGUAAACCGCUUUCGGCCGGAACGAAAUCGCCGGGGAGAACAUCUCCGGUGGAUGACGGUACCGGAAGAAGAAGCACCGGCUAACUACGUGCCAGCAGCCGCGGUAAUACGUAGGGUGCGAGCGUUAAUCGGAAUUACUGGGCGUAAAGCGUGCGCAGGUGGUUCGCUAAGACAGAUGUGAAAUCCCCGGGCUCAACCUGGGAACUGCGUUUGUGACUGGCGGGCUAGAGUGCGGAAGAGGGAGGUGGAAUUCCACGUGUAGCAGUGAAAUGCGUAGAGAUGUGGAGGAACACCGAUGGCGAAGGCAGCCUCCUGGUCUAGCACUGACGCUCAUGCACGAAAGCGUGGGGGAGCAAACAGGAUUAGAUACCCUGGUAGUCCACGCCCU